UACGUAGGGCGCAAGCGUUGUCCGGAAUUAUUGGGCGUAAAGCGCACGUAGGCGGCUUUUCAAGUCCCAUGUGAAAGCCCACGGCUUAACCGUGGAAGUGCAUGGGAAACUGGAAAGCUUGAGUACUUAAGAGGAUCGCGGAAUUCCCGGUGUAGAGGUGAAAUUCGUAGAUAUCGGGAGGAACACCAGUGGCGAAGGCGGCGAUCUGGGAAGAUACUGACGCUGAGGUGCGAAAGCGUGGGGAGCAAACAGG
rnacentral:rRNA from 1 species